GACGAACGCUGGCGGCGUGCUUAACACAUGCCAGUCGAACGGAAAGGCCCUGCUUUUGUGGGGUGCUCGAGUGGCGAACGGGUGAGUAACACGUGAGUAACCUGCCCUUGACUUUGGGAUAACUUCAGGAAACUGGGGCUAAUACCGGAUAGGAGCUCCUGCUGCAUGGUGGGGGUUGGAAAGGUUCGGCGGUUGGGGAUGGACUCGCGGCUUAUCAGCUUGUUGGUGGGGUAGUGGCUUACCAAGGCUUUGACGGGUAGCCGGCCUGAGAGGGUGACCGGCCACAUUGGGACUGAGAUACGGCCCAGACUCCUACGGGAGGCAGCAGUGGGGAAUAUUGCACAAUGGGCGGAAGCCUGAUGCAGCAACGCCGCGUGCGGGAUGACGGCCUUCGGGUUGUAAACCGCUUUCGCCUGUGACGAAACGUGAGUGACGGUAAUGGGUAAAGAAGCACCGGCUAACUACGUG
rnacentral:rRNA from 1 species